ensembl:misc_RNA 7SK 7SK RNA
GCUUGUGAGGUCGAUUGGGCUGCGACAUCUGUCUCCUCGUUCAUGGCCAGGGUUGAUUUGGUUGAUCUGGCUGGAUGGGCGGGUUUCCCCUUCCUCCCUCACCUCUCCAAGUGCGGCCUUCCAGAAGCUCCUUUCUGGGUCAAAGAGGACAACCAUCCCUGUUAGAGGAGAAUCAGUCUUAGGCCAAAGGUAUACGAGUAGCUGAGCUAAUCUGUUAGAACCUCCCAACAAGCUCUCAAGAGCAUAUGAUAUUCACACUAGGAUAUUAAUCAUCUAUAAAAAGAACAAAAUUCAGCUGGAAACUGGUGGCUCAGGCU